AGAGUUUGAUCCUGGCUCAGAACAAACGCUGGCGGCGUGCCUAACACAUGCAAGUCGUACGAGAAAGUCCGCUUCGGUGGGCAAGUAAAGUGGCGCACGGGUGAGUAACGCGUGGAUAAUCUACCCUUAAGUUGGGAAUAACUCAUCGAAAGGUGGGCUAAUACCGAAUAAUACUGCGAAACUACUGUUUUGCAGCCAAAGAAGGCCUCUGUUUACAAGCUUUUGCUGAAGGAUGAGUCCGCGUACCAUUAGCUAGUUGGUAGGGUAAUGGCCUACCAAGGCGACGAUGGUUAGCUGGUCUGAGAGGAUGAUCAGCCACACUGGAACUGAGACACGGUCCAGACUCCUACGGGAGGCAGCAGUGAGGAAUAUUGCGCAAUGGGGGCAACCCUGACGCAGCAACGCCGCGUGAGUGAGGAAGGUUUUCGGAUCGUAAAGCUCUGUCGAGCGGGAAGAAAUGUGUGGUGGCUAAUAUCCAUCAUGCUUGACGGUACCGCUAAAGGAAGCACCGGCUAACUCCGUGCCAGCAGCCGCGGUAAUACGGGGGGUGCAAGCGUUGUUCGGAAUUAUUGGGCGUAAAGAGCGUGUAGGCGGCUGGAUUAGUCAGAUGUGAAAGCCCUGGGCUUAACCCAGGAAGUGCAUUUGAAACUGUCCGGCUUGAGUAAGGGAGAGGAAAGUGGAAUUCCUGGUGUAGAGGUGAAAUUCGUAGAUAUCAGGAGGAACACCGGUGGCGAAGGCGACUUUCUGGCCCUAUACUGACGCUGAGACGCGAGAGCGUGGGUAGCAAACAGGAUUAGAUACCCUGGUAGUCCACGCCGUAAACGAUGUCCACUAGGUGUUGGGGGUAUUGACCCUCUCAGUGCCGCAGCUAACGCAAUAAGUGAACCGCCUGGGGAGUACGGUCGCAAGAUUAAAACUUAAAGGAAUUGACGG
rnacentral:rRNA from 1 species